GCGUGCGCCCAGCGUCACGGCUCGUUCCCCGGCCCAGCCACUGGGGGCUCCCUUGGGAAAGGGGCGCUGGCGGGGAAAGUGCCGGAGCCCCGCAGUGGCCGGCUCCUUGGUUAGACUACAUUCUCCCAGGGGGUUACAUCAUGGGAGUCCAUGGCCACGGUGAGAUAUAGUGAGAUAAUCAAGUGAGAUGCCAUCUGGGCAGGGAGACCAGCUCAAGCCACAGUGAAUGAGGACAUGAAGAAAACAAACUACAACUUCCAUGAGAAUGAACGUUAUUGAGGGAUAACCUCCAGGAAAAUGCAUUUCAGAAGGCGACUGAACUAUAAAAGUGAGGGGCAAAAACACUCCAAGUUCUUUCUCCCUAUCCAUCUCUCUCUUUCACCUAUGACAACAGAAGAAACAACCUCUGGACUCUUGGAGAAGAUCCUGGUCAGCAAUGUUACUGGAAACGUGUGGUAAGAGACUUCACCUUGAACCAAAUCAAGUUUGUUAAGUUUCGUACGAGGAAGCAUUUUAUCUUUAUUUCUCUUGUAUCACUUGUGAAUUUAAUGCCUUAUACUUGUACUCACUUAAACCCCAUUUCCUUGUAGUUAAACAAACUUAUUUUAUUCUUUAGUCAAAAGUAAUCCACUGUUGUCCACUGUGUGUGUACCUCCAUUUAGGGUAGCAGACUGUUGUAUACUUAUUCUCUUAGAGGGGCAACGGACCUAAUAUAUCUGGACUGCCCAGGAGAGGGCCAUAUAGUACAGAACACAGGUUUGGGGGGAAAAUCCAGGGUGUUGGACUCACCCUGCAAGUGGUCACCAAGGCUGGUGUAAGUGAGUGUGAGACUGAUGCUGUCAGGCUACAGCUUAGACACAGAUACUCAGGGUGUUACCCGCAUGCUGCAAGGCUGUUUCUGAGCAGCCCAAGUGGAAGAUACAGCAGCAAAGCAUUGUGUGGCACCCAGGAUUGCAGGGCAAGGGUGACACUGCCCCACACUGAUCUGGAUUACACCCUAGAAUGUCAUAAACUGUCAAGAUUCAUUUUAGAAGCAACUUCAUUUGAAAGGCGGGAGAAGUGAUCUCCUUAUACAGUUCACUCUGGGAUCCUUCAGGAUGAAAGCGACAAUGUAAAUGUGUUCUUUACUUUUCAAGUGAGUUGAAGGAAAGGCUCACUACAAUUUAAAAUUGGGAUGGGAAGCUCCUAGAGGGAAAAAAGGCACUUUUGAUAUUCACUAGCACUGAGUUUACUUUUCUUAUCAAUACUAAGUGAUACUAUAAGAACUGACAUACCAGAACAAAUCAAUGGUCUACCUAAUUAGCUAUUUUGUCUCUAGCAGCAGCCAAUGUCAGAUGCUUCAAAGGAAUGAAGGGAAUCCCUACACUGCACUUACUGGUGAAUACUUUAUCACUGGGGUGUGGAAUGAAGGGCAGAAGGAUUUCCUCCUGUACCCAAAUCAUCAUCUCAUGCCUCAAGAAGGCUCAACUUUAUCCUAAGUAGCGUAAACCACUGACAAUAGUCUUAUUCACAUAAAGAGUUAGGAUAAGAUACAACAAAGCUCAUCUUCAGCAAGCUUCCUUACUGCUCAAGCCAAUUUAUAUUUUAUGCUUUGAACAUUUUUCUUUAAAUCUUAACAUUACAAGUUACUUACCUUUUCCUUUCU